GGUGAGUAACACGUGGGCAAUCUGCCCUUCACUCUGGGACAAGCCCUGGAAACGGGGUCUAAUACCGGAUAACACCUGCCCGGGCAUCCGGGUGGGUUAAAAGCUCCGGCGGUGAAGGAUGAGCCCGCGGCCUAUCAGCUUGUUGGUGAGGUAGUGGCUCACCAAGGCGACGACGGGUAGCCGGCCUGAGAGGGCGACCGGCCACACUGGGACUGAGACACGGCCCAGACUCCUACGGGAGGCAGCAGUGGGGAAUAUUGCACAAUGGGCGAAAGCCUGAUGCAGCGACGCCGCGUGAGGGAUGACGGCCUUCGGGUUGUAAACCUCUUUCAGCAGGGAAGAAGCGAAAGUGACGGUACCUGCAGAAGAAGCGCCGGCUAACUACGUGCCAGCAGCCGCGGUAAUACGUAGGGCGCAAGCGUUGUCCGGAAUUAUUGGGCGUAAAGAGCUCGUAGGCGGCUUGUCACGUCGGGUGUGAAAGCCCGGGGCUUAACCCCGGGUCUGCAUUCGAUACGGGCUAGCUAGAGUGUGGUAGGGGAGAUCGGAAUUCCUGGUGUAGCGGUGAAAUGCGCAGAUAUCAGGAGGAACACCGGUGGCGAAGGCGGAUCUCUGGGGCCAUUACUGACGCUGAAGAGCGAAAGCGUGGGGAGCGAACAGGAUUAGAUACCCUGGUAGUCCA
rnacentral:rRNA from 1 species